rnacentral:lncRNA from 1 species
UAGCAUUCAACACAGGCAGACAAAACCACAAAUGGGAUGAGAGCACAAUAAUGGAAUCGAAAUAGAGUAUUUAAACGACACAUCAUAGCUCGCACACAGGUGCAGGAGUCAAAGUGCAACAACGCCCAGGAAUAACACUUAACAUACACUAAGAUUCUCCAAAAAAGACUUGACACUAAAACUUCUGCUAGAUAACUCGAUGGCAGACACCAGAGCACUCAUUUCUUCUUGAUGGCAG